rnacentral:rRNA from 1 species
GACGAACGCUGGCGGCAGGCCUAAUACAUGCAAGUAGAACGCAGUGUGGCACGGGUGAGUAACGCGUAGGUAACUGCCUCAUAGCGGGGGAUAACUAUUUGAAACGAUAGCUAAUACCGCCUACUGUGAGAUGGACCUGCUUUGUUUUAGAUAGUUGGUGAGGUAAAGGCUCACCAAGGCGCCGAUACAUAUCCGGCCGGAGAGGGUGAUCUGCCAACCUUGGACUGGUACAACGCCCAGAAUCCUUAGGGAGGCAGCAGUAGGGAAGUUUCGGCAAUGGACGGAAGUCCUAGCGAGCAACGCGGGGGGAGUGAAGAAGGUUUUCGGAUCUUAAAGCUAUGUUGUGAGAGAAGCGUUAACUAACCAGAAAGGGACGGCUAACUACGUGCCAGCAGCCGCGGUAAUAC